GCACCGCCCCCAACCCAACGGCCCGCCCAACCGCCGCUCCCCUCAGCACAACGAGAAAGCCUGCCACCAACCAGCCGCGCGGUGUUCUGUACCUUAGCAGCUCAGGUUACUGAAUAAGUUCAGUCUCAAAAUCAUGAAAGCGCGUGUUCCGAGCACAAACUUUUUACAGAGUCCUUAGUUUUACGGUAGGGUCAUCCUGCAGCUGGUGCCGACUCAUGGUGGCGUGGAACUCGACCGCCGACGUUCCUCAUAGAGAGGCUGACGCCUUGUCAUGGGAGAGGUGACUCCCCACCUGAGGUGGCAGUCACACCUCUGUCGCUGCGUGGGCAAAAAGUCCGGGAGAGGAAGCGACAACCCGAGGAACACUCCUCACAUUCGCACUGGGCCAUGGUUCAGCAAUCCAACUUCAUUUUGCACCUUCCUGUUAGCAGCUUUAGGAGCAAGCAGUCAGUCACUGAACCAGCUCAGCAAGAAGCUUCAUUGGCGCUCUUUCUUCAGAGCGAUAGGAGUGAGAAAGCUUGAAACAACACUGCAGAGGACCACAGACCUUACAAAGGAUGCAACAAAGCAAGGGAGAAAGGAGAAACAAGAAUGACCAUAUUUACUGCAAAGUAUUUUAAGGCAAAAGGAAAGCAUUCAAGUCCCUGGCUACCACCAAGCUUUACAAAAAUCUGAAGAGCAAGACUAAUCUCUAUUUCCAUCCAAAGAAGAGAAUAAACAGAAAAGAUAAUAACCACAAGAAUAAUGGUAUUUAGGAAGGUUUCUGGUGUUACAAUCAAGGGCUGACAAGAGCAAGCUGACACGGUAUUGCUAGAAAGAAAAAAAAUUCAUAUUUACACACCGCACUGUCUGCAUUUAGUGUGCCUUUUGUGCAAAGUCAGGCUUCACAUCCUGGAGACGGCCAAGUGCAUUUCUGAAUUGCUCUGCUUAACCUCUCUGACACAUGAGGAGCGAGAUUCAGUAGCGUGGAUUUGCUCCUUUGCUGGCCAGACCUACUCUCCAGGGAUAUGAUCUCACAGCUGCAUAAAAUUAUCUCCAGCACAAAAGAGAGAAUCUCUCACGGUCAGAUGGAGCUGCUUCACCACUUAUGAAGCCUAGCUGCUGACAAAACAGGCGUGCAAUGCUUAAGCAAUAGCUAUCAAAACACCAGGCAAUUUACUGCUUACGUGCCCUUCAACUGAGGAUGCUCUUAGUCAGUGACAACUUCUCUUGAGUGAACAAACAGAAAUAAUAUAUUUGUCUGAGGUCCUGCAGACCACAAAUUGAGGUGGAUUUGACAUCCUCAGGGCCUUAAAAUGCUGCUGUGCCCAUGACAAGCGGUGUCCUGGCUCUCGCACCUGCACCCCAGGACCCUUCCUCUGCAGGGGCUCCCAGGGACAAGGCAGCCAGCAGGGAGUCCCCACCCUGAGGUAGUUGGGAAAAAAGUCAUUUUUUAGUAAGUAGCACGCCUUGAGCCCAGGUGAGGCCAAGGGCGCUAGGUAGCAGGACACCAGAAGUGCACAAAGAGCAACUUGGGCUGAUUGCUCCAACAGGUGACAACCUACCAAGGAAAAAAAGCACAUCUUCCUACCAGCCAAAGCACAAGUGAGUCCUUCAUUGUCAUCCAGGAGAACAUCUCCCUGGUGCUGCGCUGAGUCCUUUUCUCCCCCCCAAAACAGAGGCAAAUGGAGCCCCUACAACAAGCAGCUUCCUUCUAUAGUGUCGCUGGGGCUGCUUUAUACCUUCAGCCCACAGGUCCUGCAGUCACCUUCCCAGCAUGCUGGCCUUCCCCCUCCACACACCCCGGCAGCACAGCUGACCCGUGUUGGCCAUUGCUAAUGAUGCCUUGCAUGCAUCUGCAUCCGGGAGCCCUGCCAUCUGCUUCUGUUUAGGACUUCACUGAGCGUAGGCAAGGAGAAAUGUUUUUUUCCUAGUACUGAUGAGCUUUUUCAGAGCAGUUUUCUAGCUGAAAGGCUGUGAAAUUCAGUGUCAGUCCUCCGUAAGAAAAUCCCCCUUCUCUUUAUUACAAACAAACCAACAAACAAAUCCCAAACCACCACCCUCAUCGUAAUAACACAGCCUUGUGUGAUUUUUCUCAUCCAUUUUUUGGUAUUUUUCUGACUCUCAGACCCAAAUCACACUGAGGGCAGCACACCAGAGGAGAUGAAUGAAGUACUCCACAUGUUGAGGCUGCGCUGCCAGCUUGUAUUUUACCUCACGGGCCUGAAACCUGGCCUGAGCGUGGGGCAGACACUGGGUGAAGGUGCUGGGUAGCACUGAAGUGCGCCUGAAUUUCGGCUGGGUUGUGCCCAGGUGAAGGUGUCUGCGUACAGCCUGGGGUUUCUGAUGGUGGGGCUGGAGUGGGACGUGAGGCAUGGACCCCCACAAAGCGCAUCACACUUGGAUAUGAUUUUUUUUCCCCACCCAAAUCCCUGCUCAGGUCUGAGUGGGAUUCCCUGUACAUGGCAGCCCUGGCAAUUCUUGUGAGCCUCAGUCAGCCAAAGCCAUGCCAAAAUAACCCACUCCUACAUGGAUAUGAGUACGUGCACCGACAGAGGUUCAACCGAUUUGCUUCUUAAACACGCCUUUGGCUAAAGCCUGGUCAAAACGUGGCAUUUUUGUGCAUUCAGGCAGCCAGGCUGGGAUGCCGACUGAGGGCAAAAGCCCAUCGGAGUCCCAGCGGACAGGAGCACCGAGACCCACCACCACCACCACGGGACUGCGGCCGAGGCGAUGGCUGCGGCUCCGGCACACGGUGCACAGGGCUGGGAGAUGCAUUUGCGGGGCGAGGGAGCCUCCUGUUGGGGAAGACGAAUCCUGUCUCGCAUGGUCGGGAACGUGUCUGUGAGGAGCUCCACGCAGAGAGAACAGGGAUGAGCGAGGCCUUAUGUGUUUUGGGCCUUUACCACCCAUUUUUUUCAACGCUUCUCAGUCGCUAAGGCUGCAGCCCCACACGGCCCUGCCUCCCCUCUGCCUCCCCCAUUUGCCUCCAGAAGCUGUGGGCUUGCAGGAAACAUCAAAUACCACAGGCGUUGCCCCCAGCCCGUGUACACUGCAGCCCCGGGCACCAUCAGGCGGUGAGACUGCUGUGCCAGCACCCCGAGCCUUCCUCUUUCUGGCCACGCUGUGCAAUUCCAGAGAGGCCCCUGGGGCCUGGAGAAAGGCGACGAGGAUGUGCUGGCACUGUGUCCACACGAAAUGUGACCGAGUGAGCCUGGCCCCUGCAGCUGGGACGUGUGGGACAUCUGGAAAGCCAGAAGCAAUGCGGAGGGGGCGACCACCUUGGUGCUGUGCCUUCACAGGCGUCUGCUCCCCGCCUCGGCUAAGUCAGACGCGGGCCAGGGCUGUGGGCCAGAGCCAGCACGGCUGCCCCAAGCAGGGCAGGGGAACAACCUCGCCUGAGCUCUGGGCUCUGACAGACGAGCUCCAGGGCUUGGCCAACACGUCUGAGGCAUUGCCACUCCCAGAUGUCUGCUCUGUCUCUCUGCCAGGAGCUACCAUGCUCCUAGCUAAGGCAGGAGGACAUCUGACUGGGCUUCAGCUGCUGCUGCUGGCCUCCUUGUGCAAGCCUCUCCUUGUGACCUCUCAGGGGGCAGGCCAGACUAUGAGGCCAGGGUGCUGAGGUGCAGAUGUCCAGCAGCACGGACAGAGGAGCAUGGUGGUGGCCUGCAGCAGAGGGUGGCCCAGGCACGUGAGGGUGGCGAUGCGUCCCCUGCUUCAGCUGUGGCCAGGGCUUGCCCUCUGCUUGUUUUGCAUGGGGAGCAGAGGCUGAGGAAGGAGUGUGCUGCAAAAUUGCACCCUCACUUAUUGAGCACUGGUUUCUUGCGGCUGAUCUAUGGCAGAUACGAAUGCACCAACCCAUUUGAUUUCUUUUGGACUGUAAGUCCUCUUAUUACCCAUGGGCCUCCCCCAGACCUGCUCACCCCGUGUGGCAGUGCUGCCUUCUCAGAGCUGUUUUCCUGGGAGGGGUCCCCAAGACUUGGUGCAGGCAAAUGCAGCUUCCCUUAGGGCACCCUCAGAUGUGCAGCACAAAGCAUGUGCGCUUUCCUAGCACGUUUUGGGUAUCACGGGACAGAAGGGACCCUGGGUUGGCUGGCACAGUGCAAAUCUGGACAAUUCCUUUUGAGUCCUGAGUCCUCUCCACUGGCUGUGACAGGUCUGAAGGUCACCUCCUAGAGUCACAGGAGCGAGAACAAUUUGACUUUGGAGGGGAAAAAAAAAAGAAAAAAGCACAGAGCAGCAUAGCUUUAUUGCUGUACUUUGACUAGAGGUGGAGCCCAUACGCAGUGGAGAAGAGUGAUGUCACCCCAGCCAUAAGUUAUGUGCUUGCAUCCUGGAAUUAAUUGCCUUACACCCCUCGUUAUUUAUAGCCCUGAUGCCAUUCCCAGCAGCCGCACAUUGGGUUACUUCUGCUGCGAUACCCGAGCACGCUGUGCCCAUACGAUCUGCAGCACUGGCAGCCGCUGUGUUGUGUGUGCAGAUCCCACAGCAACUCGCACCGCUGCCUGCCGACGGAACCGGGCCUGCUCCCUCCUGUGGCCGCCCAGCAAGUACACGGUCAUCGGGAACAAAGCAGGGACCAGGAUCCUGGGCUGGUGAUACCUCAAAUCUCCCUCCGCAGCCAGCCCAGGGUUUAUUCUGGUGAGGAAGGCUCCUGCCCGUGGAGCAGGGCUGUGCAGGCCGGGUUGGAUGGGCAGAAGUGAUUCCCGGUGUUGCUGACAAAGCCACAUUAAACCUCAGCUGAUUUUCCUGCUCGGAGCCAGCUUGCUGGCCACCACUGUGAGCAGCUAGAGCAAGGCCCAGUGGGAGCGAGCAGGGCCAGGAGGCAGGGUGAUGUGGGGAGCCGGGUCUGACCUAGCCCCCGGCUGCUGCCUCCCUCGCUGCUGGGGCAGACCCGAGCCAGGCCCCAGCCGAUGUGCUUCGUCCGUGCCUUGAACUCAGCGCUGCGGCUGGCCAGAAGCACCCCUGCUGCUGGCACCAGCUGGCAAGCCAAGAUUGUGGGCCAGGACUGGGAGUGAGCUGCGUGCCUGCAGAGGGGCUGCAGUUUUGGAGAUCUUCUUUUUCACAUCUACUGGAAAACUUGUCUUAAAUUUCUUUUAGGCAGGAUAUUUACUGUGUCCGGAACCUCCUGUAAGCAGCAUGGGCAGUAUGGCUGGGGCUGCUCCCCCGCGUCCCUCUGCUCCCAGGGACAACACCUGUGGGGAUGAGUGGGACAGGGAAGAGCAGCCAGACAACUCCUCACACGGGCAGUUCAAUGCUUACUGUGGCAUGGCCGAGCCGUCGCACCUUAGAGCUAUUUUAGCACAUGCUGCCUGGGGCCAAGGGUGACCGCAGCUCUUCCUCCGGGAUGCGGAGGUGUUCACCUUCUGCCCAGCCGCCGCUUUCUGACCAAAAGCAGCUGAAGGACAGUGAGAGCGAGGGCAGCAGCUGGGGCUGGAGGCCGGGCUGCAGCUCGGGUCCCUCCUGGCCGGAGCUUCUGCUUUGCAUCAGUGCCAAAGUCAGCAGCAGCCAUGUUCAAUGAGAAACAAUCAGCGACUUUCACACAUCAGGAAACGCCAGCUUUACUGUCUGUUAGAAAAUAUGUAUGACACAGUAAUCAGAUUCGUUUUAUUAAAAAACUUGCAAUAAAAUUCCUCAGAAUUCACAAUCUUAACUUUGAUAGUUGCAAUAUUUUACUAGUACAUAGUAACACAGUCUCACAUAUUUACAUUAUAAUCUUCUAUAUAACAAAAAUAGCCGUGUUGUACUACUGAAUAACGCUUCAAAUAUUAGCCUUGACAUUUUGGUACUUCCCCCAGCUGAGUCACUGUCCAUGCUCUUUAGCAUUUACAGUAUAUAACAAAGCAAGAUGAAACAAAAAAGUGUGUGCCCCAUGAUUUCAGGCAAAUCCCUUUAAGGUGGUAGCUUUCUGACUCCCACAUUUUUCAAGAGAUAAAGUGCAUUGAAAGGGAAGAUGUACACAUUACAAAGUAUCAGCAGAGAGUUAAACUAUAUGUGCAGUGCUGUACAGAAAGUAAUGCUAGGAAAAAAGGCUUGCUUCACAAACUGCUACUGCUCUUUUUUGGCAGCAAAUUCACAGGUAGCAGGAAAAAAAGCUAACUAAGGAAAAGAACUGCCUAUGCAAGUGCUACAGUAUGAUUUUGCUGUGGUCUUUCUCUAGGUGUUUCCUACACCAAAGUGUAACAACCUGAAGAAAGGAACUUUAUCUUAUUUGUGGAGCUGAAGGGCAGUUCCCACCGUCAAAAAGAGCAUAACACGGUCAGGCUACGGAAAGCGCCUGCAGUACCAGCAAGAGCUUCAGCCAAGAAUAGGCCCCGGUCCUGACGGACCUGCAGACAACAGAAGAUGCGGCGUGCAAGUGAGUUCACACGUGUGUGUGUGUGCAUGUGUGCAACAACCCUGCCACAUCCCCCCAGCUUCCUCGGGCUGUCAGCCCCGCCAAGCAGGGCCAGGGCUGAAGCAGAGCCGCUCUCGGUGUCCGCAGCAGGACCGACAGCAGCCUGUGAGAAUUUCACUGAUACAGAACAUUGUCUCCUAACUGGAAAUUAUUUUGGUAAGCUGUGUGCUGAUGCAUGUGGUAUUUAUUUUGUUCUUUUUUUUUGCCUUCCCUUUUUAACAUUGGCAUUUGCUGGUAUGGCUGUGCAGUGUGUGAGAGAAGACAUUGUUGGAAAAACUUUGGAGCCAUCACUGGAAAACAGAAUACUUCUGCUCUGUUCAUGAACUGUGUACAAAUGGGACAUUGUAUUUUAUUAUUUAUUUUUUUUUGGUUUGCUUAUAAACUACUCUAAAUAAAAAUAAUUCUCUUCUGGAAAUGGAUGGAAUGUAUAUUUGGACAAGUACAAAACCAUUUUAAAUGCUCACUAAAUACAAGGAACAUCUUGCUAUAAAAGUAACAGACCCUCCCACCCACUGUCCCCUCUUUACAUUUCUAAUUACAAAAUGGUACAGUCAUUUCAGGUUCCUAAACAUGAAACAAGAAGUGAGGGUGGUAUUACGUAAAUACAAAACAUUUAGAUAUUGACAUCUGUAAUAACCGUAUACAUUCAGAGCAACCAAGCGCCUUGAUCUUAUUAUUUUUAACACUACACAGGACUGAAAAAUCAGGAAAUAAAAAGAGAAAACACUAUUUCUUCUUUUUGUCUUUUUUUUUUUUUUUUUUGCAUUCACUCCAGAAAGAAUGAACUUUCACCAAUUCACAAUUAAAAUAGUUGGGAGGGGCAAGAUUAAUUUCAGAUGGAAAACUCAUCCGUUGGCUUUCCAAACUCCACAAGGCAUUUAAUUCCUCUCAUCUUCUCUGUUUCUCUCUUUGAAAUACAGCUUGUGCUCAGAAAGCUUUUUUUUUUUUUCUUUUUUUCUUUUUUUUUUUUUUUUUUUCCCACAGAACAGAAGUGCCAGGGAAGAGAAAGCACUGGGAGCAGCUCCUGCCUGGCGGGUGUCAGCUGCGCAGCAGAGGGCACCCUUGGCCCUCGCUCGUCGCCCCCAGCCCGCAGCUGCCAGCUGCUGCACCCGCACCCGAAAGCCCACCUGGCUCCCCUGCCAGCUGCAGAGCGAUCAAUUAGUGCAGGUAAGGGCUUGUCUGAAGGAAAGGACUGCUUGCCUUGGAUCAGUUGUCCCUGUUCAAAAAGUCUGCUAAAACAACACCUCCACCCUCAUUUUCCCUUUCCCCUAAAAUAUUUCCUUAUGCUGUUUUUUGCUGCUGCUUUAACUGACUUGAUUUAUAUCUGUCAGACCGGUUGCCCCGUAUAUGCUCAAACACUGCAUCUGUAAACCAAAUGAGCCUGUUUGCACUCAGUGCUCCUCAGUGAAGCAGCAAUCCAGCAGCAGCUAACAGGCAGCAGCCCCGCUUACGAAGCGGUCGGGUUCCCCUGAAUCUGCCCAAGGCCCAGGGCCUGCCUCUUCUUCAGCCCCCACGCUGAGCCGUAUCACAGGACAUUUAUCUGUGAGCCCUUCUACGCUACCAGGACAAUGCACAGGGCACACCCGAAGGCGCUGACCCUCUGCACUGUGGCUGCCUCCCUCUGGCUGGGCGCUACAUGAGGUUAACUAACUGCUUCUGUUUGGACUCGCCCUGGCCCACAGCUCUAUCAGACCAGUAACUUUCACCCUACAACCGGGCUCUACAAGAACAACGGGUAAAAAAAAUCUCCAUUAUUGCUAGUGAAAUAGAAGGCCAUAAAUGACUAUCAGUUUUCUCGGUUUGCACAGACUGUAAACUCACACUCCUGGCUUAUUUCACACUAUAUACUCAUCAGCUUUUCUAUGGACAAUGACCAGGAAGGAACAAGCCUCUUACAAACACAGCCUGGGAGCUGCCCGCUGCCCAGCCCGAAAGGCAUCUCCCGCUGUUGAACAUAACCUGUGUCGUCAUUUCAGUACAGACCAAUCGUCACAACAAGGGCUUGCAGCCUCGAGAUUAUCCAUGAAGGCUCGUGCCCUGAUCUUUGCCCAUUAAUCACUGAAUCCCCUCAAGAGGCUGCAGCGUACAUUCAAAGGAAAAAGUUGGUAAGGCAAAAAACUGGAAAAUUCAUAUGAUGACUGCACUCCAGGUUUAACCAGAAUGGGAAAUGUAACAUGUUUUACAGAAAAUCUGUCACUGUGUACUGAUGACUGAAAGUAGAGGUGUUAAGUGAUCUGCAGAUACCUGCCAUGGCAAUCCUUCUGUAUGCAAACAUCUUCUGAGCUCAACGUUUUUCAAGUUGGACAAGCGUUUCUUUUUAUUUAGCAAAGGGGAAAAGAGGGUGGAUUAACAGGUGCAACAAGAAAGACUUCGAAUCACAAAAUGCAUAUUCCUUGUGAAACAUUGAAUUCUGAGCUAGAUCUGUCUCCAGUGCUUGGGUUCAUUUUGUUAACAAAGUCAGAACGUAUCACAAACUGGUCAUUCAACAAGAGACGAAGUAUGGACUUUCUUGCAACAGCAUCUUCUGGAUCUGAUCCAGACGUCAUUAAAUUAAAGCAGUGAGAUCCUAGGGACCUCUCAUAGUAUGCGAUCUCAGUUUUUUUUUCAAGUUGCUUCUGUAAAGCCUUUUUCUUUAUUGCCAGGUUCUUUCACAUAUGGAAACGCUCUAAAAAUGGCAGCAGCUUCUGUUUUCACUACAAUGCAGUUUCCAUAGCUGCAUCAAUGUACUUGUAUAUGCAUAUGUGGAAUUUUAAUUCUAUAGAUUGCUUAAAGAACAAACUGCAGCACUACCAUUGUCCCUGUCCUGUUUUUGAGGCUCUGAAGCAGUUGGGAAAAAACAAACCUCAAACUCUCAGCAAGUGCCAGACCUGUGCCCGCAGCAGAAUGGGUGAGCUGAGGAAGGGAUGCAGCAGAGCUGGUGCCUUGCACACCCACAUGCACGCAUUAGGUUGGGUCCGAGCACAAAACUCUGCCCAUGCAACUUUUUACAUCUUCUACCUAUUGAACGGGCCUUUGGGAAAGCAGUUCAGUGAAACCCAUGAAAACCAAAGGGAACUUGGAGCACGGGCUCUGCCUGUCCAGGUUUCCUCCUGCAACCCAGCCGGAGUGAAGACAAGCUGGUGAACGCUUUUCCCACACUGUGCUCACCAAUGGGAAAUAAGAGAAAAGAGCCUCAGGUGACAGGAACAGGAAGAGUUUACAGAGACACACAAUGAGCCUAGUGACAAGAACAUUUUCUCAGAGCUGUGCUGCCUUCUGGCCACCGGCCCUGUGCAGGACCGACCCCCGGUCCCAGCCGUGCUGUCCAGACAGCAACAGCUGCAGCAAAGCCAUCCGCACCACGGCACGAGUGUGCAGAAUUACACACCUGAGCACUUUUUUUUUUUUUCCCCUCCUGGCUGCAGGCUAAAGGCUGCUCUCUGUUCUGAGCAGGCAGGGCCGUGCCCCCAGCAUCCGAAUCCCACCUAUUUAAUGCCAGAGCCCUGGUGUGGCGGGCAGCAGUACCGAGGAAUCACAAAAUGCUCAGGAAGGGACCGAUCGCACCCAAACCUGCCAAUGAGGAGAUUUAGUUUUACCCUAUGAGGAAUCACAGGGGAGGGAUUCACAUAGGCAAAACUGUGCACGGGCAUGAGGAUCUACAGAAUUAAGGCUUUCGCAUGUGUUACAAACAUACCUCUGGGCUCUUAAUAUUUAUGAAGCACCUCAAAUUGCCAAGGCAUUUCCCAGGUUAUAUAUACAAAGGACAUUUGAGCCAGGACCUGCUUUAGGAAAACAUUUCCAUUUGACCCAGGGUCUUAAGUAUACUAUAGAAGACCUGUUGAAAAUACUGUGAUUUCAGAGCAAGUCCAACAUUAGCCUUAAGUGCUUUUCUGAACAAGGACGGAUUAAAACAUUUACUUAAGUGCUUUCCUAAGUUCUGCCUUCAGUGCUGUGUAACCUGGCCUUGCACUUGUUAUCACGUAACAGCGCUCAGAGCUACACAAUACCUGAGGAGAGAGAUGGAGAAACAUCCUUCCUGAGCAAAACUGCAGAAUUUGGAAAACAAAAGCGGAAAGUCUCCUGACCAGAUUUGCUAGGAUGAUUCUUCUGAAAGACCAUAAUAUGGUGGUGCACAAAAUCAUCUCACCUAGCCUAGCACCCUAUCCCUGAUGGUGGCCAGCCCUGGCCCCUGAAGGACCAGGUCUAGGAUGGGAUACUUACAGAAAGAGCAUGCAGAGUGUGAUCCCUCUCCAAAAUCCUUUCCCAGCUUCUAGAGGUAUGGGCAGGGUCUCAGUUACAGUCUGUGUGCUGUCCUGUUGAGCACAGCUCCCUUUAAGGAUUUUGCCUGCAAAUGACCCACUUCAGCAUCACCUGCCUUGCUUUUUUUUUUUUUCCAGCCUCUUGUGCAAACACAGACCUCGCUUGCUCUGCUGUGCUGUGGGGGACUCCAUUACAGCAACAGACAAUUGGUCAGUUUGUCCAUUAAGUUAAUUCAGCUUGUAAAAUAAAAUGAAGACUUUGUGACAGGUCCUCUGAAACCCACAUGACACAGCCAGGAGUUCUGUUUGCGUGCUGGGUGCCGCGGGCGGAUGUUAGAGGAUCACUGACAACUUGGACAUCGUGUUCGUGAUGUUCCUGUGACAUAUAGCACUCAGGCUCCAGCACUAGGGAAGAAACUGUACCAGUGUGUGUUCUUUCCAUAGGGAGCCCUGACUGGGUAUAUAACCAGCUUCUCUUUCCCCUGAAGUCACUCACAAUGAAUUUCACUCCUAUGUGAAGGGCCGGUAUGAGGUAUAAGCACCACUUAAAUCCUACUUCAUUACUUCCAGAGCUUAAGUGGAGCUGAUGUGAUUGGUACCUUGUGUGAACUCUUGUGAAGGGGUGAAUUUCAGCAUCGGCUCCCCUGAUAGUGUGGGCCUUUCCCAGAGUGGCAGGGAACAGAGGAGAUAUUAAAGAAUAAGGAAAAUGUGAUAACAGAACCACAACUAUUGGCAAGAGUGACUCAGCCGCACCCUCCGGAACAGUCUCUAACUUCCUUUUUACAACAAACAGAUUCCCAACUGCUUGCAUCUCUUUAAUUAAAAAGAGAUGUUCUUUUGAAUGGCAUAUAAAAAUGUAACAGCACAUAUCUGGAUCAUGGUUUUGAAGCCUCAAACAUACCCUGCAAUUUAGGGACUAAGAACAUCACAAAAAAUAAGCUAUAAAAUGAACAAAACCAAAAGUAUGGAGGAUAAUUCUUCCUUCUUCCUGUAAUAAAAAAGCAAGUUGUCCAAAAUUUUAGGGAUAGUUCUAACCACAUUUGUUCCUGAAUAAGCUCUGAUAAAAUGAAUUUUGGGUGGGAGCUGUUUUCCACAGCUAGUGAAUAAAUCCACAAGGAAGAUUAAAUAUAGCAAGAAUGCUAACAGUUGCGUUUUGAGAUGCUGCUGUGACACAAGUGAAGAUGUUUGACCUCUCCAUGAAAUUUCGAUGUAAGACGAAUCAUUGAUUCUGCUGACCUACUUGGGAGCCAGUAAUGUGAUUCAAAUCAUCUGACUGUCAACAGAAAGCAUUUACUCUUGUAAAACAGUUAGCUAAGAGGGCUUUUUCACAGUUGAAUAUUUUGAAAAAUGAAAUCAUAGAUUGAACAAGUAAAAAUAAGCUUUUUUUCCUGGAAAGCAUAAUUCAGUAUGGACUAAUAAUAAUCACAGGUCAUUAUUAUUUAGAUAUUUUGAUUUGUGUUGCUUCUUAUUUACAAAUUCCUUCCUCCCUACCCAAAAUGUUUUGGUAUAUAUACUUAUAUAAAUUGCAAGUAUUCCGUUAUGCUUGCAGCAGUGUUAACAGGGACUCUGGAGGGCAGUGAACCACCUGAACUCUUGUGUUGGGUAACAAGCUGGCAAAAACUGCAGUAAAAAAAAAAAAAAGAGAGAGAAAAAAAGGAGAAAUGCAGAAAGAAAAAAAAAUAAAACAAAAAACAAAGCGGUAAGUAAACAUUUCAUCCAGCUGCCUCCUGCCUCAUUAACAAUUUCUGACACUGAUAUCAGCAUCUCCGGACCCCUUCUAAGAACAUCUUUUUUUGUCUGCAUAAUGCACAGCUGUUAACAAGCACCCUCUGGAAAUCCCUCAGACACUCUUUCAGCCUACUGGUCAGAUUCUGCUCUGUAAAGUUAAGCAAAGAUGCAAUGUUACACUAGAUCUUUUCCAGCUAUAGCCCUGUAACUUGAAGGAAGGCUGUCAAUGUACUGACCACUACUGAUAGCAUAAAUCUAGCAAAGGACCAGACGGACAGGGUGAAGCUUAAUGCUUUUCUUUCUCUCCCUCAACACUGUACCAUACUUGUCUCAAAUAGAGCUCUACGUAAAAGUCAACAUAAUGCUGUUUUAAACCAAAUCUCUGCAAUCUUUUUUAAUUCAGAGCUCUCUUACAAAUAAAGCCCUUCAGAAUACACAGUUUCCAAGGCUCCACUUAAUGAAAGCAGGCUUCACAUUAUUACAGGGUGCUGGUGCACCAUCCUUCUGAAGCCCUGUGUGCUUCAUAAAGAAGCAACAGGCAAUGAUACAUCCUGGAGUUGGAUCACAAAGUGACCAGUGAACAGGAAUUCAGGUUUCUGGAUUGAACUCUUGAAAAAGCUGGGCGUCAGUCAACAAAAAUAGCGUGUCUAUCCAUAACUAUAAACAAACAAAUGUAACAAACAUACGUCUUUUCCAAAA